rnacentral:rRNA from 1 species
GGUUGACCUCGGAUCAGGUAGGAAUACCCGCUGAACUUAAGCAUAUCAAUAAGCGGAGGAAAAGAAACCAACAGGGAUUGCCUCAGUAACGGCGAGUGAAGCGGCAACAGCUCAAAUUUGAAAUCUGGCCCAGCGCCCGAGUUGUAAUUUGUAGAGGAUGCUUUCGGCGCGGCGCCUGCCGAGUUCCCUGGAACGGGACGCCACAGAGGGUGAGAGCCCCGUAUGGCAGGACGCCCAGCCACUGUAAAGCUCCUUCGACGAGUCGAGUAGUUUGGGAAUGCUGCUCAAAAUGGGAGGUAAAUUUCUUCUAAAGCUAAAUACCGGCCAGAGACCGAUAGCGCACAAGUAGAGUGAUCGAAAGAUGAAAAGCACUUUGAAAAGAGGGUUAAACAGUACGUGAAAUUGUUGAAAGGGAAGCGCUCGUGGCCAGACCUGUGCCCGGCGGAUCACCCAGCGCCCCGCGCUGGUGCACUCCGCCGGGUUCCAGGCCAGCAUCGGUUCUCCAGGCGGGACAAAAGCCCCGGGAACGUGGCUCCUCAGGGAGUGUUAUAGCCCGCUGCAGAAUACCGCCCGGGGGACCGAGGUUCGCGCUUCCGCAAGGAUGCUGGCGUAAUGGUCAUCAGCGACCCGUCUUGAAACACGGACCAAGGAGUCAAGCAUUAGGGCGAGUGUUUGGGUGUCAAACCCGCACGCGCAAUGAAAGUGAACGCAGGUGAGAGCUUCGGCGCAUCAUCGACCGAUCCUGAAGUUUUCGGAUGGAUUUGAGUAAGAGCCUUACCGCUUGGACCCGAAAGAUGGUGAACUAUGCCUGUAUAGGGUGAAGCCAGAGGAAACUCUGGUGGAGGCUCGCAGCGGUUCUGACGUGCAAAUCGAUCGUCAAAUAUGGGCAUGGGGGCGAAAGUAAGUCGAACGUUCCUCGAGCACCGGAAUAUAAUUCAACCACGGGCACAGUUGCUAACAACAUCUCUCUAGGACUAAUCGAACUAUCUAGUAGCUGGUUACCGCCGAAGUUUCCCUCAGGAUAGCAGUGUUGUUUUCAGUUUUAUGAGGUAAAGCGAAUGAUUAGGGACUCGGGGGCGCUAUUUAGCCUUCAUCCAUUCUCAAACUUUAAAUAUGUAAGAAGCCCUUGUUACUUAGCUGAACGUGGGCCUUCGAAUGCAGCAACACUAGUGGGCCAUUUUUGGUAAGCAGAACUGGCGAUGCGGGAUGAACCGAACGCGGGGUUAAGGUGCCAGAGUGGACGCUCAUCAGACACCACAAAAGGCGUUAAUACAUCCUGACAGCAGGACGGUGGCCAUGGAAGUCGGAAUCCGCUAAGGACUGUGUAACAACUCACCUGCCGAAUGUAUUAGCCCUAAA